rnacentral:lncRNA from 1 species
CAGGGAUCAGCUAACCCUCUAGCUGAGGAAAUUGAUUUAAAUAUUUGAUUUUAGGGCCCAGCCCUUAACCUAGCUUCACCUCUCUUGCUGAAACAUCCUGGCUUUCAUAAAAUAAGACAGUACUAGCUUGAGCAAAAUUUUUGAAGCAAAUCAAAUAUAUUUUCACCUACUCCUUUUUCUUUCUUCAUUUUAGAGUCCCCUCUCCUAGAGGAGGUAGAGUGCCACAGAAGAAACUAUAUUCUGAGAUGUUGUAUGCCCUACUGGUUAAUAGCUUAUGCUCUGGAGGUCCUGUGGAGGGCAAGAAUGAAGUAACAGAACUGGUCUCAGCCCACAGACUCAGGAAUGUUUUUCCUAAAUGAUGUUUUCAUUCUUUAAAAAUCAAGGAAAACACCUAGAAACCUCCCUUCAGCACCUCAAAAGGCGCUCCGCCCGAUUCAGGCAAGUGCUUUCUUAAAAUGACUGAAUGGCAAAAGCAGUCUCUAAUUUUGUCUAUUUCUUCCUAAAAUGGAAAUGAAAGUUUAAAAGUCCUAUCUCUGAAUAUGGGGAAGUAAAAUUAGGAGUUGGUGAUAUUUUCUGUCAUUUUGGGCACCAGAAAAAUCUUUGCUAGGAAUACUGUCCCACUGCUUUCCAAUACUACAGCUACUGCCAAAAAGGCAGAAAGAUCUUAGACACAGAGCUUAACUAAGAGAUGAAGAAGAACAAGGAGAAGAGUCAGGCAGUAGACACGAAUAAGUGUUUUUCUUUUAAUGCAAAGAUUGCCAGGAAGAAUAAUUUGUGAGAUGGAGAUGUAGGAAAGAAAAAUAGAAUACAAAAGGUAUAUUAUUUUCUGUACCUAACACUAAGUAUUUGGCUAAUCCUAGGAGAGGUAGACUUAUGUUGUGAUUAUUUGAGACAGAUUGAAGGCAUAUUUGCAUUGGUUUUUAUAGAAAAUCAACUUCACAUAAACUCAUUUUCCAGGAGUUGGUAAAAAGAAAAGGUUGAGUAUAGGUUUAGCUUUAUUAUAACUAUUCAAUUAUAGAGAGUAAAUGUUAUAUAUGCUCAGUGUGCUUUUGGGGAAAACUGAGUAAGAAAUUUAAAAAUAUCCUAAAUACCCUUUUUCUGAAGACGUUGGAUAUCUGAGCUGUUACAUAAUUUAUCCAAAACUUUCCAGUCACCAUUGGUAGGACUAUCUCUUAUUCUUAUUUGCAUUCUUAAGGAAAUGUACCCUUACUGCAUAUUUCCCUUGAGCUGUAUAUUUAUUACUCCUUUCUCUUUCAAUAGCUCCCCUUGUUAACUUUAGAUUUGCUACUAAGACUUCACGUUUUCAUUCACAUUCAUUUCUAAAUUUUACUUUUCUACUGCCUGGUUCUUAAAACUUGGCAUUACAGUUACUGUUGGAAAUUUUUUUUUAAAGUGUGAAAUAGAGGCAUGAAGCAUCAAUUUUCUGAAUUUCAAGGAGUUUAUUUAAAAAUAGAUGCAUAUAUAGUGGGAUACUGUAAUUAUACUUGAAUAAAUAGAAAUUUGACUAUAUGCUGAAUUCUGGCCAGGAGCUUCUAUAGUUAAAAUAAAAAAGUUUAAUUCUGAAGAAUGUCAAAUUGGUAGGUUUCUAUAGGCAAAAGCAGGCUGUUUUUUUUUACUUUUUGUAGGCAUCUGACCCUGGAUACUAAAUAUAAAGCAGGGUGUGGUAAAAAUUGUCUCAUUGAUAUUGUUACACUUGAGAAUUGAAUUUAUCACUAAAAACUUGGCAUUGAAUAAAGCUUAUAUGUGAAAAUAAGUAUGUUAGGAAAAAAGAUACUAGAAACCUUUCUGAUUUUAAAAAUAGAAAUAGUAUAAAUGAGUGUACAAUGUAUAAAAGAUCAAAAUGUGCCAAGACAUAUAUACUUAGUACCAUAAUUUGUAUUUUAGAAAUGUGACCUACAAGAAGCUUUCACAAUUUCAGAUAUUCAAUGAUGUUUAAAAUAGAACCAUUCACUCUUUCACCCAACAAAUACAUAUUACUAACUGUAUGAAAGAGUAUUCUAAGCUCGUGUCAUGAAAAAAAAAAUUUCUGCUCUUGUGAAG